rnacentral:rRNA from 1 species
AGGACUUGACAUCCUCUGACGAUUCAGGAGACUGAAUUUUCUCUUCGGAGACAGAGAGACAGGUGGUGCAUGGUU